rnacentral:rRNA from 1 species
UACGGAGGGGACUAGCGUUGUUCGGAAUUACUGGGCGUAAAGCGCACGUAGGCGGAUUUGUAAGUCAGGGGUGAAAUCCCGGGGCUCAACCUCGGAACUGCCUUUGAUACUGCAAAUCUCGAGUCCGGAAGAGGUGAGUGGAAUUCCUAGUGUAGAGGUGAAAUUCGUAGAUAUCGGGAGGAACACCAGAGGCGAAGGCGGCCACCUGGACAGACACUUACGCUGAGACGCGAAAGCGUGGGGAGCAAACAGG